CGGAGGGUGCAAGCGUUAUCCGGAUUUAUUGGGUUUAAAGGGUCCGUAGGCGGCCGUAAGUCAGUGGUGAAAUCUCGCAAGCUUAACUGCGAAACUGCCAUUGAUACUGCGGGUCUUGAGUGAAUUUGAAGUGGCUGGAAUAAGUAGUGUAGCGGUGAAAUGCAUAGAUAUUACUUAGAACACCGAUUGCGAAGGCAGGUCACUAAGAUUCAACUGACGCUGAGGGACGAAAGCGUGGGGAGCGAACAGGAUU
rnacentral:rRNA from 1 species